rnacentral:rRNA from 1 species
UACGUAGGGGGCUAGCGUUGUCCGGAAUUAUUGGGCGUAAAGCGCGCGUAGGCGGUUACUCAAGUCGGAUGUGAAAGCCCUCGGCUUAACUGAGGAAGUGCACCCGAAACUGAGUAGCUAGAGUACUAAAGAGGGUCGCGGAAUUCCCGGUGUAGAGGUGAAAUUCGUAGAUAUCGGGAGGAACACCAGUGGCGAAGGCGGCUCACUGGACCGGUUCUGACGCUGAGGCGCGAAAGCGUGGGGAGCAAACGGG